rnacentral:rRNA from 1 species
UACAGAGGGUGCUAGCGUUGUUCGGAAUUAUUGGGCGUAAAGGGCGCGUAGGCGGCCCUGUGUGUCGGGUGUGAAAGCCCACCUCUUAAAGGUGGAAUUGCAUUCGAAACUACAGGGCUGGAGUGUCGGAGAGGAUGGCGGAAUUCCUGGUGUAGAGGUGAAGUUCGUAGAUAUCAGGAGGAACACCGGUGGCGAAGGCGGCCAUCUGGACGGUGACUGACGCUGAGACGCGAAAGCGUGGGGAGCAAACAGG